rnacentral:rRNA from 1 species
AGCAGCCGCGGUAAUUCCAGCUCCAAUAGCGUAUAUUAAAGUUGUUGCAGUUAAAAAGCUCGUAGUUGAAUUUCGGGAUCAAUAUAUCGGUCGUGCCUUGGUACGUACUGGUAUCAUUGGUUUCUCCUUUCUGACGAACCAUGAUGUCAUUAAUUUGGUGUUAUGGGAAGUUAGGACUGUUACUUUGAAAAAAUUAGAGUGUUUAAAGCAGGCUUUAGCUUGAAUACAUUAGCAUGGAAUAAUGAAAUAGGACGUUCGAGCCUAUUUUGUUGGUUUCUAGGAUCAACGUAAUGAUUAAUAGGGAUAGUUGGGGGCAUUAGUAUUCAAUUGUCAGAGGUGAAAUUCUUGGAUUUAUUGAAGACUAACUACUGCGAAAGCAUUUGCCAAGGAUGUUUUCAUUAAUCAAGAACGAAAGUUAGGGAUCGAAAACGAUCAGAUACCGUCGUAGUCUUAACCAUAAACUAUAGCCGACUAGGGAUCGGAUGAUGUUAAUUUUUAAUGUACUCAUUCGGCGCCUUACGGGAAACC